rnacentral:rRNA from 1 species
AUUGAACGCUGGCGGCAUGCCUUACACAUGCAAGUCGAACGGCAGCGCGGGAGCAAUCCUGGCGGCGAGUGGCGAACGGGUGAGUAAUACAUCGGAACGUGCCCAAUCGUGGGGAUAACGCAGCGAAAGCUGUGCUAAUACCGCAUACGAUCUACGGAUGAAAGCAGGGGAUCGCAAGACCUUGCGCGAAUGGAGCGGCCGAUGGCAGAUUAGGUAGUUGGUGAGGUAAAGGCUCACCAAGCCUUCGAUCUGUAGCUGGUCUGAGAGGACGACAGCCACACUGGGACUGAGACACGGCUCAGACUCCUACGGGAGGCAGCAGUGGGGAAUUUUGGACAAUGGGCGAAAGACCUGAUCCAGCCAUGCCGCGUGCA